rnacentral:rRNA from 1 species
CUCCUACGGGAGGCAGCAGUGAGGAAUAUUGGUCAAUGGGCGGGAGCCUGAACCAGCCAAGUCGCGUGAAGGAAGAAGGAUCUAUGGUUCGUAAACUUCUUUUGCAGGGGAAUAAAGUGCAGGACGUGUCCUGUUUUGUAUGUACCCUGAGAAUAAGGAUCGGCUAACUCCGUGCCAGCAGCCGCGGUAAUACGGAGGAUCCGAGCGUUAUCCGGAUUUAUUGGGUUUAAAGGGUGCGUAGGUGGUUUGAUAAGUCAGCGGUGAAAGUUUGCAGCUUAACUGUAAAAAUGCCGUUGAAACUGUCGGACUUGAGUGUAAAUGAGGUAGGCGGAAUGCGUGGUGUAGCGGUGAAAUGCAUAGAUAUCACGCAGAACUCCGAUUGCGAAGGCAGCUUACUAAGCUACAACUGACACUGAAGCACGAAAGCGUGGGGAUCAAACAGGAU